UGGCAGCCCGUUCUGCUCCCGAAGGCCCCGGCUUAGGCAGUCUGGGAUGCGGCCCUGGACACAGGGCUUUAUGCAGCUCCGAAGUGAUCCCAGCACGCAGCCCGCGUCAAGCUCAGCACUCGGCAACCAUAGGCACCCAACAAGGGGCCGCAGCCAUCAGUAACGGCAGCUCCAACGCCCAGAGAACUCACGGAGCAGACAUACAUCAGAUGAAGACACGGAGGCCUGAGCGCUGGGGGUCGCCCGGGGCCGCACAGCCGGUCAGAGGCCAACCCUGGGCAGAGCCAGGCCACACCCUCCCUCAAGGAUUUACAGUCUCCCCAAAGUAACCGCAACGAGGGACCCUCCCGUCACCAAAUUUCCUUUCAGUCACUUCCGUUUGUGCUAAUUCUGGCCCAACCGUUCAUUAUAUUUUCACAAUUCUUA
rnacentral:antisense_RNA from 1 species